CCCACACACACAUGCACACGUCACAUCAGCAUCUAUCACACACCCCACUCACACACACCACAUACACAGACACACACACACACCCCACACAUGCACACGUCACAUCAGCAUUGAUCACACACCCCACUCACACCACGUACACAGUCACACACACACACACACCACACAUGCACACGUCACAUCAGCGUCGAUCACACACCCGACUCACACACACCACGUACACAGUCAGACACACACACACACCCCACACAUGCACAAUGCACACGUCACAUCGGCGUCGAUCACACACCCCACUCACACUACGUACACAGUCAGACACACACACACACCCCACACAUGCACACGUCACAUCAGCAUCUAUCACACACCCCACUCACACACACCACGUACACAGUCACACACACACACCCCCCACACACAUGCACACGUCACAUCAGCAUCGAUCACACACUCCACUCACACACACCAAGUACACAGUCACACACACACACACUCCACACAUGCACACGUCACAUCAGCAUCGAUCACACACCCCACUCACACCACGUACACAGUCACACAAAACACCCCCCACACAUGCACACGUCACAUCAGCGUCGAUAACACACACCACGUACACAGUCACACACACACACCCCCCACACACAUGCACACGUCACAUCAGCGUCGAUCACACACCCCACUCACACACACCACGUACACAGUCACACACACGCACACCCCACACAUGCACACGUCACAUCAGCGUCGAUCACACAUCCCACUCACACACACCACAUACACAGACACACACACCCCACACAUGCACACGUCACAUCAGCAUCAAUCACACACCCCACUCACACACACCACGUACACAGGCACACACACACACACCCCACACAUGCACACGUCACAUCAGCGUCGAUCACACACCCCAUUCACACACACCACGUACACAGUCAGACACACACACCUCACACACAUGCACAUGUCACAUCAGCGUCGAUCACACACCCCACUCACACACACCACAUAGACAGUCACACACACACCCCCCCACACAUGCACACGUCACAUCAGCAUCGAUCACACACACCACGUACACAGUCACACACACACACACCCCACACACAUGCACACGUCACAUCAGCAUCGAUC
rnacentral:lncRNA from 1 species